rnacentral:sRNA from 1 species
GCUCCUUCCAAGUGAGGCAACAACUUCAGAUAAAGAAUUAAAGGCACCACCAAUAAUACUGAACAGUUCUUGAUGUAAACACCCAGAUAUAAGUGGGAACAUAUUGAUGAACAAAUUGAACUGGCUUCAGUUUCCCAUCCUCCUAUGUUUUAUUCCUAUGUUUUAUUCUUAUUGCCUACUCCAGAAUAAAAAGAACAUAAUAUGAAGAAAAUCCUAGCUUGAAAGUGAUUUGGAACUCCUAACUCUUUUGUCUCCUAACUGGUUGUCAAAAAGAGACGAGAAAUUAUGCGAAACAGGAGCAGGAAAUAUCUGAUUUCAUUCUCAUUUCAUCUUGAGGAGUCUCUGGAAGAAUACUGCAGACUGAGGUGUCAGAACAAUACAAUGCCAGAACCAGAAGGAGAGUCACAUGAUUCGACUUGUGUCAGUGACCACAAAUGGAUAUGUGUGACAACUUUGGGGAAAACUGCAUGGUUCUUUUUGUCUUGCUGCUUUUGUCAAUAAGAACUAAGUUGGUCUAGACAUCUGAGGUUGCCAGGUGAAAUCUCAUUGUAAAACCAAUGAUCAGGAAAGACACAGCAGAGAAGUAAAGAGAUGCCAAAAUUUGGUGACCAUUUUUUCAGCUAACUGUGCCUGAAAAUAUAUUCUACUGGGUUUCUGCUAUGAGAUUGAAUAGACGUCUUUUAUGAUGAAGCCA